GGCAGUGGUGGCUUAGUGGUUAAGGCUCUGGGUUACUGAUCAUAAGGUCGUGGGGGUUCAAGCCCCAGCACUGCCA